UACAGAGGUCUCAAGCGUUGUUCGGAUUCAUUGGGCGUAAAGGGUGCGUAGGCGGCGCGGUAAGUCGGGUGUGAAAUCUCGGAGCUUAACUCCGAAACUGCAUUCGAUACUGCCGUGCUUGAGGACUGGAGAGGAGACUGGAAUUUACGGUGUAGCGGUGAAAUGCGCAGAUAUCGGGAGGAACACCAAUGGCGAAGGCAGCUCGCUGGGACGGUACUGACGCUGAGGCGCGAAAGCGUGGGGAGCAAACAGG
rnacentral:rRNA from 1 species